UACGGGGGGGGGCAAGCGUUGUUCGGAAUUACUGGGCGUAAAGGGCUCGUAGGCGGCCAACUAAGUCAGACGUGAAAUCCCUCGGCUUAACCGGGGAACGGCCUCUGAUACUGGCUGGCUGGAGUUCGGGAGAGGGAUGCGGAAUUCCAGGUGUAGCGGUGAAAUGCGUAGAUAUCUGGAGGAACACCGGUGGCGAAGGCGGCAUCCUGGACCGACACUGGACGCUGAGGAGCGAAAGCCAGGGGAGCAAACGGG
rnacentral:rRNA from 1 species